rnacentral:rRNA from 1 species
GACGAACGCUGGCGGCGUGCUUAACACAUGCAAGUCGAGCGGGGAUUGAUGAAGUGCUUGCACAGAAUCAAUUCUAGCGGCGGACGGGUGAGUAACGCGUGAGCAAUCUGUCCUACACAGGGGGAUAACAACUGGAAACAGUUGCUAAUACCGCAUAAGACCACGGCAUCGCAUGUUGCUGAGGUAAAAGAUUUAUCGGUGUAGGGUGAGCUCGCGUCUGAUUAGCUAGUUGGUGAGGUAACGGCCCACCAAGGCGACGAUCGGUAGCCGACCUGAGAGGGUGAUCGGCCACAUUGGGACUGAGACACGGCCCAAACUCCUACGGGAGGCAGCAGUGGGGAAUAUUGGGCAAUGGGGGAAACCCUGACCCAGCAACGCCGCGUGGAGGAAGAAGGUUUUCGGAUCGUAAACUCCUGUCCUCAGGGAAGAGCAGAAGACGGUACCUGAGGAGGAAGCCCCGGCUAACUACGUGCCAGCAGCCGCCGUAAUAC